AUACAGGGGGUGCAAGCGUUGCUCGGAAUUACUGGGCGUAAAGCGUGCGCAGGCGGUCCAGCAAGUCGAGGGUGAAAACCCGGGGCUCAACCCCGGAAUUGCCUCCGAAACUGCUGGACUUGAGUACGAGAGAGGGUCGCGGAAUUCUUGGUGUAGAGGUGAAAUUCGUAGAUAUCAGGAAGAACACCAGUGGCGAAAGCGGCGACCUGGCUCGAUACUGACGCUCAUGCACGAAAGCGUGGGGAGCAAACAGGAUUAGAUACCCUGGUAGUCCACGCCGUAAACGAUGAGUGCUAGCUGCUGGACAUGUCUACCAUUUCAGUGGCGUCGCUAACGCAUUAAGCACUCCGCCUGGGAAGUACGGUCGCAAGACUAAA
rnacentral:rRNA from 1 species